CUUCGGGGAACGAUAACGGCGUCGAGCGGCGGACGGGUGAGUAAUGCCUAGGAAAUUGCCCUGAUGUGGGGGAUAACCAUUGGAAACGAUGGCUAAUACCGCAUGAUGCCUACGGGCCAAAGAGGGGGACCUUCGGGCCUCUCGCGUCAGGAUAUGCCUAGGUGGGAUUAGCUAGUUGGUGAGGUAAGGGCUCACCAAGGCAACGAUCCCUAGCUGGUCUGAGAGGAUGAUCAGCCACACUGGAACUGAGACACGGUCCAGACUCCUACGGGAGGCAGCAGUGGGGAAUAUUGCACAAUGGGCGCAAGCCUGAUGCAGCCAUGCCGCGUGUAUGAAGAAGGCCUUCGGGUUGUAAAGUACUUUCAGUCGUGAGGAAGGCGGCGUCGUUAAUAGCGGCGUUGUUUGACGUUAGCGACAGAAGAAGCACCGGCUAACUCCGUGCCAGCAGCCGCGGUAAUACGGAGGGUGCGAGCGUUAAUCGGAAUUACUGGGCGUAAAGCGCAUGCAGGUGGUUUGUUAAGUCAGAUGUGAAAGCCCGGGGCUCAACCUCGGAAUAGCAUUUGAAACUGGCAGACUAGAGUACUGUAGAGGGGGGUAGAAUUUCAGGUGUAGCGGUGAAAUGCGUAGAGAUCUGAAGGAAUACCGGUGG
rnacentral:rRNA from 1 species